rnacentral:lncRNA from 1 species
UGUGAAAUUGUUUAAAAUAUUAUGUGAAAGUGAAAAAGAACUUCAAAAGAUGAAAUAAGACAAUGUUGUAUCUGUAUUGUUGGAUCAAUCCCAUAAUCCUACUGUAUCUAUUUAUUUUCUUCACUUCUGCUUGGAUUGAAUAAUAUCAAAAGAAAAAGUUAAAUAAUGAUAGCUAAAACCUACAGUAAUAUGGUCUUGCCAGACACAACCUACUUUAAAAUUCAGCUUUUGCAGUUACCAUGAGAGACCGAUAAGGGCCCGUUCUGGGAUUGGCAAGUUUUAUUAAGACUUGACUAAUCCGACUGCAGUCUUUAUAGUUUUUUUAGACCAAUCCAGCACCGUGUGGACGGCUCAAAAACUUGUAUGAUCUAUAG